GCCUUCAUAGUUUAACGGUAGAACACUCGGAGAGUAUUCGAGAGGUCCAAGUUCGAGUCCCGGCGAGGGCA
rnacentral:tRNA from 1 species